UAUCCCAUAAAAAAGUUGUGAUUGGUCUCGUUCGUCGUAAUGGCAUACUAGCUAUUUGCUUUGCCUUGACGACUAUAUUGCUAUAUCACCACCCAUAAAUUGAGUUC